UGCAGCGGUCCAGACCGGGACAAAGGCCGACGGAGGAGCACGAGCUGCACUGCGUCCACCAGGAGGGUCAGUCGACAGAGCGGGUGGUCCAACAGUGUGUGGACGGUACUGAGCUCUGUCCAUCGGAGCCGACCACGGCGGAGGCGGCGAAUAUCAGAUGGAGAUGACAGAUGUGCGUGAAGACCUGGCCGCCCUUCGCCGGGAGGUGGCCGCACUGAGCAAAGUGGUGGCCAAAGUCCAGGGGGAGUACGCCGCACUUCACGGUGCGAUGGUCCGCCUGGAGCAGGCAGUUAUCGAGGAGCGGACCACUCGCCAGACCGUGGUGGAGGAUCUGCGGCAGGAGGUCCGCCGGCGAGCGGCGCCAUCCGGCCGUCCCCAGGGUAGAGCUAGAAAAAUGGCCAAUGACGUCAUAGUACAGACGGAGCC